GACGGAGGAUGCAAGUGUUAUCCGGAAUCACUGGGCGUAAAGCGUCUGUAGGUGGUUUAAUAAGUCAACUGUUAAAUCUUGAGGCUCAACCUCAAAAUCGCAGUCGAAACUAUUAGGCUAGAGUAUAGUAGGGGUAAAGGGAAUUUCCAGUGGAGCGGUGAAAUGCGUAGAGAUUGGAAAGAACACCGAUGGCGAAGGCACUUUACUGGGCUAUUACUAACACUCAGAGACGAGAGCUAGGGUAGCAAAUGGG
rnacentral:rRNA from 1 species